GGGUCUGUAGCUUAAUUGGGAAAGCACCAAGCUUGCAACUGGGUAGAUGUCGGUUCAACUCCGAUCAGUUCCAUUGCGGAGUCUGAAGUCAAAGCGGUCGAGACGCUGGUCUGUGACACCAGUAAUAAUGGGUUCAAGUCCCAUCAGACUCC
rnacentral:tRNA from 1 species